GGGGAUUUAGCUCACUGGCAUAAGCACCUGCCUUGAAAGCAGACAGUCGUAAGUUCAAUCCCUG
rfam:Cavia porcellus supercont2_3 genomic scaffold, whole genome shotgun sequence.